GUGUCAGCAGCCGCGGUAAUACAGAGGUCCCGAGCGUUGUUCGGAUUCACUGGGCGUAAAGGGUGCGUAGGUGGUGAGGUAAGUCGGAUGUGAAAUUCUGGAGCUUAACUCCGGAACGGCAUUGGAAACUACCUUGCUUGAGGUUUGGAGGGGGGACUGGAAUUCUCGGUGUAGCAGUGAAAUGCGUAGAUAUCGAGAGGAACACCAGUGGCGAAGGCGAGUCCCUGGACAACACCUGACACUGAGGCACGAAAGCUAGGGGAGCAAACAGGAUUAGAAACCCCCGUAGUCC
rnacentral:rRNA from 1 species